GUCUACGGCCAUACUAUCCUGAAUGAGCCCGAUUCCAUCUAAUCUCAGAAGCUAAGCAGGGUUGGGCCUCGUUAGUACUUGAAUAAGAGACCUAGGAAGACCAAGUGCUGUAGGUG
rnacentral:rRNA from 1 species